rnacentral:tRNA from 1 species
AGCAGUGUAGCACAGUGGUAAGGAGCAGGGCUCAUAACCAAGAGGUUGCUGGUUCAAAUCCCUGCUGGGGCACUGCUG